rnacentral:rRNA from 1 species
GGACAGCCUCGGGAAACCGUGGGUAAUACCGGGUACUCCGCCACCCCCGCAUGGGGGAGGCGGGAGAGCGUAUGCGGCGGGGGAUGGGCCCGCGGCCUGUUAGCUAGUUGGCGGGGCAACGGCCCACCAAGGCGAUUAUGGGUAGCUGGGUUGAGAGACCGACCAGCCAGAUUGGGACUGAGACACGGCCCAGACUCCUACGGGAGGCAGCAGUGGGGAAUCUUGCGCAAUGGGGGCAACCCUGACGCAGCGACGCCGCGUGCGGGACGAAGGCCUUCGGGUCGUAAACCGCUUUCAGCAGGGACGAGGCCGCAAGGUGACGGUACCUGCAGAAGAAGCCCCGGCUAACUACGUGCCAGCAGCCGCGGUAAUACGUAGGGGGCGAGCGUUAUCCGGAUUCAUUGGGCGUAAAGCGCUCGUAGGCUGCCCGCUAGGUCCGGGGUCAAAUCCGGGGGCUCAACCCCCGCACGCCCCGGAUACCGGCGGGCUUGAGUCGGGUAGGGGAAGGCGGAAUUCCAGGUGUAGCGGUGGAAUGCGCAGAUAUCUGGAAGAACACCGGUGGCGAAGGCGGCCUUCUGGGCCUCGACUGACGCUGAGGAGCGAAAGCUGGGGGAGCGAACAGGAUUAGAUACCCUGGUAGUCCCAGCCGUAAACGAUGGACGCUAGGUGUGGGGGGAUUGUCCCUCCGUGCCGCAG